UACGUAGGUGGCAAGCGUUACUCGGAAUCACUAGGCGUAAAGCGCAGGUAGGCGGUUCGGUAAGGCUUUUGUGAAAGCUCCCGGCUCAACUGGGAGAGGUCAAAGGAAACUACCGGGCUAGAGUGUGGUAGGGGAAACUGGAAUUCCUGGUGUAGCGGUGAAAUGCGUAGAUAUCAGGAGGAACACCUGUGGCGAAAGCGGCUCACUGGACCAUAACUGACGCUGAUGCACGAAAGCUGGGGGAGCAAACAGG
rnacentral:rRNA from 1 species